rnacentral:rRNA from 1 species
GGUUAAGCGACUAAGCGUACACGGUGGAUGCCCUGGCAGUCAGAGGCGAUGAAGGACGUGCUAAUCUGCGAUAAGCGUCGGUAAGGUGAUAUGAACCGUUAUAACCGGCGAUUUCCGAAUGGGGAAACCCAGUGUGAUUCGUCACACUAUCAUUAACUGAAUCCAUAGGUUAAUGAGGCGAACCGGGGGAACUGAAACAUCUAAGUACCCCGAGGAAAAGAAUCAACCGAGAUUCCCCC